GGGAUGCCGGCGAGCGGCGGACGGGUGAGUAAUGCCUAGGAAUCUGCCUGGUAGUGGGGGAUAACGUUCGGAAACGGACGCUAAUACCGCAUACGUCCUACGGGAGAAAGUGGGGGAUCUUCGGACCUCACGCUAUCAGAUGAGCCUAGGUCGGAUUAGCUAGUUGGUGGGGUAAUGGCUCACCAAGGCGACGAUCCGUAACUGGUCUGAGAGGAUGAUCAGUCACACUGGAACUGGGACACGGUCCAGACUCCUACGGGAGGCAGCAGUGGGGAAUAUUGGACAAUGGGCGAAAGCCUGAUCCAGCCAUGCCGCGUGUGUGAAGAAGGUCUUCGGAUUGUAAAGCACUUUAAGUUGGGAGGAAGGGCAGUCAGCUAAUACCUGGUUGUUUUGACGUUACCAACAGAAUAAGCACCGGCUAACUUCGUGCCAGCAGCCGCGGUAAUACGAAGGGUGCAAGCGUUAAUCGGAAUUACUGGGCGUAAAGCGCGCGUAGGUGGUUCAGCAAGUUGGAGGUGAAAUCCCCG
rnacentral:rRNA from 1 species